GCUUGGGAGAAGGAAGCUGUGGGAGGAGGAGAGUGAGCUGGAGGUGAGUCCGCUGUGUACCGGCAGCUUCACUCCCAUAGU